rnacentral:lncRNA from 1 species
GGUUUAUGGUGUCACUGCGUUGGAGAUACGACUUUCAAAAACUCGAUGAUGUCUGUAUACACUCUCUGGAAACUGAAUAAACCCAUUUGGAGCCCUGAAGAGGAACUGUUGUAACAGUGGAAAUGCUUUGAGGCCUGAGCCAGAGCAAGGCAAAGUGCCAGAUGGUGUCUGCCUUCAGAGGAGGAUGCUGAUGUCCUGCUUCACAGAAGGACCCAGCUCACUGUUCUGCGUGUGACCCUCGAAGGAAGGAAGCUGCCAGCACAACAUGCGUGUGCACCCAGAUAUUUCAAAAUCAGCUAAAGAGUCAUAUGCAAAUACGAGAUGGCCUGCAAUGUGGGUUGCUUUACAGCUUCCUUCCAUAAUGUUUGGAAAGUGGAAAUUUAUGUGUAAAGUGGGGAAAAGCAAUCAAAACCUCUACAGAAUCUGGUGCCAGAAUUAAUGAAACACUGAAAUAAAGGAGAGGGGAGGAGAAAAGAGAGAAAAUAA